rnacentral:rRNA from 1 species
GUCUGAUGGAGCAACGCCGCGUGAGUGAAGAAGGGUUUCGGCUCGUAAAACUCUGUUGUUAAAGAAGAACAUAUCUGAGAGUAACUGUUCAGGUAUUGACGGUAUUUAACCAGAAAGCCACGGCUAACUACGUGCCAGCAGCCGCGGUAAUACGUAGGUGGCAAGCGUUGUCCGGAUUUAUUGGGCGUAAAGCGAGCGCAGGCGGUUUUUUAAGUCUGAUGUGAAAGCCUUCGGCUCAACCGAAGAAGUGCAUCGGAAACUGGGAAACUUGAGUGCAGAAGAGGACAGUGGAACUCCAUGUGUAGCGGUGAAAUGCGUAGAUAUAUGGAAGAACACCAGUGGCGAAGGCGGCUGUCUGGUCUGUAACUGACGCUGAGGCUCGAAAGUAUGGGUAGCAAACAGGAUUAGAUACCCUGGUAGUCCAUACCGUAAACGAUGAUUGCUAAGUGUUGGAGGGUUUCCGCCCUUCAGUGCUGCAGCUAACGCAUUAAGCAUUCCGCCUGGGGAGUACGACCGCAAGGCUGAAACUCAAAGGAAUUGACGGGGGCCCGCACAAGCGGUGGAGCAUGUGGUUUAAUUCGAAGCUACGCGAAGAACCUUACCAGGUCUUGACAUACUAUGCAAUCUAAGAGAUUAGACGUUUCUC